UCAAGCCAAGAGUUGCCACAUGACAAGAACCUGGAGGGAAUUUUUGGACAGGACGGAGAAAAGAGGGUCAAAGAAUAAUUCCUGGGGAAUAAUCACAAUGAUCAGGAUGGGAGUAGGAAGAAGAAUCACAGAAGGAGACAUAACCUUUUGACUAAGCUGUUGAAGACUACUAAACCAAACUUCAACUCCCUAGAAAAGGAAGCGUUGCUGACUCCAUUCAAACAGAGGAAGUGACUGACCAUUGGAUCACAGAUUUAAUACUAGAAGAAACUUUUGAGACCCACUUGUCCAACUCACUCAUUUUGAAGAUGAAGAAAAAGGACUUGUUCAAGGUCGUAUAGUCAUAUAUGUCACUGAGUACAAUAGACAGGUUUUUGAAUCCAAAUCCUCUGACUCCCAAAACAGCAUUCUUCUCAUUGUAGCACUAUAAAAGGGUCAUAUAUCUAGGAUCUUGGAGAAUUUGUAUUGAGGAAGGAAAGAAGAGAGAGGAGAGAAGAGGAGAAGAGAGGAGACGAAAGAAAAGGAGAGGAGAGGAAGGAAGAGGAAAAUAAAAAGACAAAGAAGAGUCA
rnacentral:lncRNA from 1 species